AGGCCAGUAGCUCGAAUUGGUAGAGCAUCGGACUCCAAAUCCGGGUGUUGGGGGUUCGAGUCCCUCCUGGCCUGCCA
rnacentral:tRNA from 2 species